rnacentral:rRNA from 1 species
AGAGUUUGAUUAUGGCUCAGGAUGAACGCUGGCGGCGUGCCUAACACAUGCAAGUCGAGCGGAGAUAGUUGAAGCCUAGCGAUGACUAUCUUAGCGGCGGAUGGGUGAGUAACACGUGGGUAACCUGCCCUGUACUGGGGAAUAACAGCUGGAAACGGCUGUUAAUGCCGCAUAUGCGCACGGAGCCGCAUGGCCCUGGGCGGAAAGAUUUAUCGGUACAGGAUGGGCCCGCGCCGGAUUAACUAGUUGGCGGGGUAACAGCCCACCAAGGUGAUGAUCCGUAGCCGACCUGAGAGGGUGACCGGCCACAUUGGGACUGAGACACGGCCCAAACUCCUACGGGAGGCAGCAGUGGGGGAUAUUGCACAAUGGGGGAAACCCUGAUGCAGCGACGCCGCGUGAAGGAUGACGUAUUUCGGUAUGUAAACUUCUAUCAGCGGGGAAGAAGAUGACGGUACCCGACUAAGAAGCCCCGGCUAACUACGUGCCAGCCGCAGC